AACGGGGGAGUANNCGUGAGUAACCUGCCCUUAACUCUGGGAUAAGCCUGGGAAACUGGGUCUAAUACCGGAUAGGAGCGUCCACCGCAUGGUGGGUGUUGGAAAGAUUUAUCGGUUUUGGAUGGACUCGCGGCCUAUCAGCUUGUUGGUGAGGUAAUGGCUCACCAAGGCGACGACGGGUAGCCGGCCUGAGAGGGUGACCGGCCACACUGGGACUGAGACACGGCCCAGACUCCUACGGGAGGCAGCAGUGGGGAAUAUUGCACAAUGGGCGCAAGCCUGAUGCAGCGACGCCGCGUGAGGGAUGACGGCCUUCGGGUUGUAAACCUCUUUCAGUAGGGAAGAAGCGAAAGUGACGGUACCUGCAGAAGAAGCACCGGCUAACUACGUGCCAGCAGCCGCGGUAAUACGUAGGGUGCGAGCGUUAUCCGGAAUUAUUGGGCGUAAAGAGCUCGUAGGCGGUUUGUCGCGUCUGUCGUGAAAGUCCGGGGCUUAACCCCGGAUCUGCGGUGGGUACGGGCAGACUAGAGUGCAGUAGGGGAGACUGGAAUUCCUGGUGUAGCGGUGGAAUGCGCAGAUAUCAGGAGGAACACCGAUGGCGAAGGCAGGUCUCUGGGCUGUAACUGACGCUGAGGAGCGAAAGCAUGGGGAGCGAACAGGAUUAGAUACCCUGGUAGUCCAUGCCGUAAACGUUGGGCACUAGGUGUGGGGACCAUUCCACGGUUUCCGCGCCGCAGCUAACGCAUUAAGUGCCCCGCCUGGG
rnacentral:rRNA from 1 species